rnacentral:rRNA from 1 species
AGUGAACGCUGGCGGUAGGCCUAACACAUGCAAGUCGAACGGCAGCACAGUAAGAGCUUGCUCUUACGGGUGGCGAGUGGCGGACGGGUGAGGAAUACAUCGGAAUCUACUUUUUCGUGGGGGAUAACGUAGGGAAACUUACGCUAAUACCGCAUACGACCUACGGGUGAAAGCAGGGGAUCUUCGGACCUUGCGCGAUUGAAUGAGCCGAUGUCGGAUUAGCUAGUUGGCGGGGUAAAGGCCCACCCAGGCGACGAUCCGUAGCUGGUCUGAGAGGAUGAUCAGCCACACUGGAACUGAGACACGGUCCAGACUCCUACGGGAGGCAGCAGUGGGGAAUAUUGGACAAUGGGCGCAAGCCUGGUCCAGCCAUACCGCGUGUGUGAAGGAGGCCUUCGGGUUGUAAAGCCCUUUUGUUGGGAAAGAAAAGCAGCAGGUUAAUACCCCGCUGUUCUGACGGUACCCAAAGAAUAAGCACCGGCUAACUUCGUG